CCUACGGGAGGCAGCAGUGAGGAAUAUUGGUCAAUGGACGAGAGUCUGAACCAGCCAAGUAGCGUGAAGGAUGACUGCCCUAUGGGUUGUAAACUUCUUUUAUAAAGGAAUAAAACGAGGCACGUGUGCCUGUUUGCAUGUACUUUAUGAAUAAGGAUCGGCUAACUCCGUGCCAGCAGCCGCGGUAAUACGGAGGAUCUGAGCGUUAUCCGGAUUUAUUGGGUUUAAAGGGAGCGUAGAUGGGUUGUUAAGUCAGUUGUGAAAGUUUGCGGCUCAACCGUAAAAUUGCAAUUGAUACUGGCAGUCUUGAGUACAGUUGAGGUAGGCGGAAUUCGUGGUGUAGCGGUGAAAUGCUUAGAUAUCACGAAGAACCCCGAUUGCGAAGGCAGCUUACUAAACUGUGACUGACAUUGAUGCUCGAAAGUGUGGGUAUCAAACAGGAUUAGAUACCCCAGUAGUC
rnacentral:rRNA from 1 species